AUUAACGCUGGCGGCGUGCCUAAUACAUGCAAGUCGAAUGGUUAGCUUGCUAACCAUGGCGAACGGGUGAGGUAACACGUAGGCAACCUGUCUAAGAGACGAGGAUAACCAUUGGAAACGAUGGAUAAUACUGGAUAAGAUAUUGGGAGGCAUCUUCUGAUAUUUAAAGAUUUAUCGCUAAUAGAGGGGCCUGCGGCGCAUUAGCUAGUUGGUGAGGUAACGGCCCACCAAGGCGAUGAUGCGUAGCCGGACUGAGAGGUUGAACGGCCACAAUGGGACUGAGAACGGCCCAUACUCCUACGGGAGGCAGCAGUAGGGAAUUUUCGGCAAUGGACGAAAGUCUGAACCCGAGCAACGCCGCGUGAACGAAGAAGUAUUUCGGUAUGUAAAGUUCUUUUAUUUGGGAAGAAAAUACAUUGACUGUACCAAAUGAAUAAGCUCCGGCUAACUACGUGCCAGCCGCUGC
rnacentral:rRNA from 1 species